CGAGUUGGCCGGGUGAUCGCGGCGUGAGCAAUCACGUCGAGGAAAGUCCGGACUCCUUAGGGCAAGGUGGUGGGUAACGCCCACCCGGGGCAACCCGCGGGAAAGUGCCACAGAAAACAGACCGCCAGGAGCAAUCCUGGUAAGGGUGAAACGGUGGUGUAAGAGACCACCAGCACAUGGGGUGACCCAUGUGGCUUGGUAAACCCCACCUGGAGCAAGGUCAAGAGGGCCGAAAGGCCUGUGCAGACGAGCGGCCCGUUCAAUGUCUGCAGGUAGACCGCACCAGGCUGUCGGUAACGGCAGUCGCAGAUGGAUGAUCACCGAAUUGGUCGCCGCAAGGCGAUUGAGGAACAGGAUCCGGCUUACAGGCCAACUCGUCCA
rnacentral:RNase_P_RNA from 1 species